rnacentral:rRNA from 1 species
CACGUAAGUUGCGAGCGUUGUUCGGAAUUAUUGGGCGUAAAGGGCAUGUAGGCGGACCGGCAAGCUUGGCGUGAAAUCCACGGGCUCAACCCGUGAACUGCGUUGAGAACUACCGGACUUGAGUCGCUGAAGCGCAACCAGAAUUCCAGGUGUAGGGGUGAAAUCUGUAGAUAUCUGGAAGAAUACCAAUGGCGAAGGCAGGUUGCGGGCAGACGACUGACGCUGAGGUGCGAAGGUGCGGGGAGCAAAC